GCUGGCGGAUACGGCUCUGGGGACGCGGAGACGCRGGACGGGGACGUGGCGUCUGCCUGGGCUGGUGAAUAUGGCACCGGCGACGCAGAGAUCGAGGGCAGGGAGAUCGCCGCCGACUGGGCCGGGAAAUACAGCAAGAGGGACGCCGAGAGCAAGGACGAGGAUUUCACGCUGGGCUGGGCUGGCAGAUCCAGCACGGGGGACCCCGGGACCCCGGAGAAGGAGUUUUGUCCCAGCCGACCAGCCUGGGACAGCAAAUACAACACUAAGGACAUGGAGAGCCAAGACAGGGAGUUCAGCCCCAGCCGACCGGCGUGGGACGGCAAAUACAGCGCCAGGGACAUGGAGACGCAGGACAGGGAGUUCAGCCCCAGCCGACCAGCCUGGGACGGCAAAUACAGCGCCGGGGAUAUGGAGACGCAGGACAGGGAGUUCAGCCCCAGCAGACCAGCCUGGGCCGGUGACUACAGCUCUACAACCCCCCAAAAGGAAGGUGGAGAGUUCAGUCCCGGCCGGCUGAGCUGGCCUGGCGAAUGCAGCACUGGCCAAACUGAGCCAGCAAGCGCUUUCGGUGGCGGAAAAGGAGACUUGUCYGGCUCCUGCACUGCCGAUCACCCGUCUCGAGAGCCUGGCUGGAGCGGCACCGACAAGCGGGAGAGCGGUACCGGCGGCGGCAGGGACUGGGGCGAAGAGCUUAGCCUCGGCGGAGCUGAGCGCCAGAACCAAUUCGGCAUCAUCGGGACRGACCGGGUGCCGGAUCCCUCGAGGGCCGGAGCUUCGUCGGACGACCUGGCACCCUGGGCCAGUGAAAUUAGGUCCAGGGAGCUGCAGGAGCCCCCGGAGCGUGGGGAAACGCUAGGAGACUGGCACAGGGAUCUCUCCUUCAGCGGCUUGGAUGCCACCAGCUGCCUGGGCUCCGGUGACGCCGGCAGGGGUGGAGCGGGCCAAACGGCCUGGGAUCAGGGCCCGGGCAGCCUGGCUGUGCCCAGCGGCCCUGCCCUGCCCAGGGAGGCCGGAGUGGAAGAACCAGAUUGGAGCGGGGACCUCGGCGACUCCAGCUGGAGCGUGGAGCUGUGCGACGCCUCGGCCGAGGCCGGCGAGACGGAGGCCGGGCGCCGGGAGUGGGUGAGCGCGUUCGGCGCCCGGUGUGCGGCCCGGAACCGGGAUUUCGGCGCCACGGAGCGGAGCGGGGGAGCCGGCGCCGGCUCGGAGGACRGGUAAGGAGGGUGCCGGCGGUGGGAGCGCGGCCGAGGGGAAGGGAUCCUUGGAGUUGGCGGCCGCCCUGUGCUGGCGUCGCGCCGCCCCUCGCCCGUAGCCGGGAGAGCUGCUACCUCUGGCCCUGGGCCACCGGCGCUGCUCUUCCCCAGCCUCUGCGUUUGCCCACGUCGCCCGCGGCCCCACAACU
rnacentral:lncRNA from 1 species